UUCCGUGUCGGGGUCAAAAGACGUAAACAAGAUUGGCCUGAAUCAGGUGGAUACGGAUACUAAGAAAACAGUUGCGUUCUUUUAUUUUGUGGUGAAAAUGAGUUUUGUGACUGUGAAGGAGAACAAUGUAGAGAAGUUGCACUUUGUGCGGGAGCCAGGACUGAGAUCCUGGAGUAUUCUUGGAGCAAUGGUUGCACUAGGAUUUGGAGCAGCUCUCUAUAGUGCAGAUAGCUUGCUGUGGCAGGUGUGUUACAUUGGGGCAUGCACAUUUGUUGGCUUAUCUCAGCUGGAAGAAUGGGAGGUAGGUGGUUAAUGUAUGACA